AGCUCCCUGCUGUCUGCUCCCUGGAGCAGAGGUAGCCACCCCUAGAUUUAUCCCUCCGCACCCUGGAUCCUCCCUCUAAAUCUCUUUUAUGAGAUUUGCUGCCUGCUCCUGAGCUCUUGAGCUCAGCCGGGGAUACCCUCCUCAGGGGCUGCAAAUGCUCUGCGGAGGAGGCUUCCUCUCAGAGCUGUGUGGUUCCUGGGCCCCCAUGUCUCAGGAUGCUUUUCCGUUGGGAUACCAUCCUCCCUCAGAGCUGUCCUGAGAUUCCGAGAUUCCGAGUCCCAGGACACCUUCCCACCCCAGCAGGAAGGCCAGCGUUUUGGUUCCGUGACCCAGAUAGGCUCUCCGGGUGCUUGUGCUCCCCUCGUGGUCUGAGCAGCACUAGGACCCUAUCCUUCUUCUCCAGUUGGCCUGUAGCAGACUCACUUCAGGCUCAACCCAUGCACCAGCAAUGGUUAGAGAGAAGCCAGCCAAAGAAUGUCUCGUGGUAUUCCAGCCGAUUCUUCCCACUUCCGAUGGGUUAAGCCACCGUUACUGAUUCGCAUUUGGUGUUUGCUAUUGGACUGAACCUGCUGAUAUCCUGACAUGAAGCUUAGAGUCGAUCUAAAGAACUACUUCUAAACAGGUCCACAAUGCCCUUGUCCUAGUAACCGUAUCUCUCCCCUACCUCUGGUCGGUGCUCUAGAAGGGAGAUUGAUGCAUUGAAGAACCCCAAAUAAAAUAGGCUUUGAAAAAUCAGCCUGCAGGACCUUCUAGCCAAAA